UACAGGGGGGGCAAGCGUUGUUCGGAAUUACUGGGCGUAAAGGGCCAGUAGGCGGCCAACUAAGUCCGACGUGAAAUCCCAAAGCUUAACUUUGGAACUGCGUCGGAUACUGGAUGGCUUGAAUUCGGGAGAGGGAUGCAGAAUUCCAGGUGUAGCGGUGAAAUGCGUAGAUAUCAGGAGGAACACCGGUGGCGAAGGCGCCUAUCUGGCCCGAUACUGACGCUGAGGCGCGAAAGCUAGGGGAGCAAACGGG
rnacentral:rRNA from 1 species